CACCCUUAGAGUUUUGGCAUAACCAGAUACCGAUUUACAACGCGGACCAUGAGGUUACAGAAAUUCAGGGAGGUGCAUAUGUGGUUCAAUAGAUAAAGGUUCUUCAGCAUCAUUGAGCCGGUAAUUCUUUUGUUGUAAAUCAAUAAUUUCCAGUUGAAGAUUCAAAUUUCCCUUGUGUAGAUGCUUCGUUGUUUACAUUUGUCAUUUUUCUGAUAGACUCAUUCCUAUUAUGCUGCCUAAUCAGUGGAUGCUCUUAUACUGUAGCUCAUGAUAUUUAGCAA